AGAGUUUGAUCAUGGCUCAGGACGAACGCUGGCGGCAUGCCUAACACAUGCAAGUCGAACGGAGUUGAGAGAGCUUGCUUUUUCAACUUAGUGGCGGACGGGUGAGUAACGCGUGAGCAACCUGCCUUUCAGUGGGGAAUAACGUUUUGAAAAGGACGCUAAUACCGCAUAACGUAUAGUUAUCGCAUGGUAAUUAUACCAAAGGAGAAAUUCGCUGAAAGAUGGGCUCGCGUCCGAUUAGCCGGUUGGCGGGGUAACGGCCCACCAAAGCAACGAUCGGUAGCCGGACUGAGAGGUUGAACGGCCACAUUGGGACUGAGACACGGCCCAGACUCCUACGGGAGGCAGCAGUGGGGGAUAUUGCGCAAUGGGGGAAACCCUGACGCAGCAAUGCCGCGUGAAGGAUGAAGGUCUUCGGAUUGUAAACUUCUUUUAGCGGGGACGAACAUGACGGUACCCGAAGAAUAAGCUCCGGCUAACUACGUGCCAGCAGCCGCGGUAAUACGUAGGGAGCAAGCGUUGUCCGGAUUUACUGGGUGUAAAGGGUGCGUAGGCGGUCAGGCAAGUCAGUCGUGAAAACUGUGGGCUCAACCCACAGCCUGCGAUUGAAACUGUUUGACUUGAGUGAAGUAGAGGCAGGCGGAAUUCCCGGUGUAGCGGUGAAAUGCGUAGAGAUCGGGAGGAACACCAGUGGCGAAGGCGGCCUGCUGGGCUUUAACUGACGCUGAGGCACGAAAGCGUGGGUAGCAAACAGGAUUAGAUACCCUGGUAGUCCAUGCUGUAACGAUGAUUACUAGGUG
rnacentral:rRNA from 1 species